rnacentral:rRNA from 1 species
AGCGAACGCUGGCGGCAGGCCUAACACAUGCAAGUCGAACGAACCUUUCGGGGUUAGUGGCGGACGGGUGAGUAACACGUGGGAACGUGCCUUUAGGUUCGGAAUAACUCAGGGAAACUUGUGCUAAUACCGAAUGUGCCCUUCGGGGGAAAGAUUAAUCGCCUUUAGAGCGGCCCGCGUCUGAUUAGCUAGUUGGUUGAGGUAAUGGCUCACCAAGGCGACGAUCAGUAGCUGGUCUGAGAGGAUGAUCAGCCACAUUGGGACUGAGACACGGCCCAAACUUCUACGGGAGGCAGCAGUGGGGAAUCUUGCGCAAUGGGCGAAAGCCUGACGCAGCCAUGCCGCGUGAAUGAUGAAGGUCUUAGGAUUGUAAAAUUCUUUCACCGGGGACGAUAAUGACGGUACCCGGAGAAGAAGCCCCGGCUAACUUCGU